GACGUAGGGCGCGAGCGUUGUCCGGAUUUAUUGGGCGUAAAGAGCGUGUAGGCGGCCAGGUAGGUCUGGUGUGAAAACUCGAGGCUUAACCUUGAGAUGUCAUCGGAAACCAUUUGGCUAGAGUCCGGAAGAGGAAAGUGGAAUUCCUGGUGUAGCGGUGAAAUGCGCAGAUAUCAGGAAGAACACCAAUGGCGAAAGCAGCUUUCUGGGACGGUACUGACGCUGAGACGCGAAAGCGUGGGGAGCGAACAGG
rnacentral:rRNA from 1 species